rnacentral:lncRNA from 1 species
GUGGACACAUUUUUCUAAAACUGCAGAAAUAAUGUAUGGUGGUCAUUUACCCCAUCAUGCAGAUAAUUGUUCUAAAGACACUCUGUAAAAGUUAAUCAUUAAUUAGUUUUUUUUCAAUACAGAGGAAAAUAGGAUGCUCUGGGAAUGGUUAAAUAGCCCUAAUCUAGAAGACAAAUUUAAUCAGACAAAGGUCUUGGGAAGUGAUGGUGGGGGAUAUAGAGCUUGUCAAGCACAAGAAACACAACUUCAGGACCCUGUGAUGAUAUACGAGAGAAGAGGAGGUAAAGAAAAGCAGCUGAAAACUGAUACCCAGCAGAAAAAUUCCAAAGUUGAGAUGUCCCUGGAACAAGGCCAAAGAGCUCAUAAGGCUCUAAUGUUCCUGUGUUGUCCUCUAGUACCCCAGAGACAAGAGUGAGAAAAUAUCUGAGAAGAAAUGCAUUCUCCCAGGUUAGAGUCCAGCUUUGUGCUUUGUUAUUUGAACACACAUAAGUCCAUGUGUUUUUCACUGAUGUUUAUUUAUGUGGCUUAAGGAAAAAACAUUUAGAAAUUUUACACAUAAGGCAUUCAACAUGUGGAGCUGUACAUGAAAAAAUGUUUUUUUUGUGUGUGUGUGUGUGUGUAUGUGUGUGCGUGUGCAUGUGGAAAAUUACUUGUAACUGGAAAUACUAUACAUUUUCAUAUUUCCCAGGGCAGUCUUGGUUUACUUUUAUUAUUCCAGUGAAUAAUACUUUGCAUUGAACAAUAAAUCAUACAGUCACCUACUGUAAUUCAUGUUCAAAAGGGGUAAAACUCUUGGCAUACUCAACACUAAAUAGGAUUAUUUCAUUUUGCAAAAUAUUUUCAUUAUAGCAGUUGUUGAAUACGAGGUUGAACGCAGCCCUAAUAAGGCCAAAAGUCAAGAACAUCAAAACAAGAUACAAGGAAAAUGACAGAUGACAGAAAGAAAACCUGUCCAAAUGUUAUCAUCUAAUUUUAAAUAGCUAAAUACUC